GACAGAGGGUGCGAACGUUGUUCGGUGUCACUGGGCUUAGAGGGCGCGUAGGCGGCCCGGUUAGUGGGAGGUGAAAGCUCUGGGCUCAACCCGGAAAUUGCCUUCCAAACGGCCGGGCUUGAGGACUGGAGGGGGAAGCGGAACGUCAUGUGUAGCGGUGAUAUGCGUUGAUAUAUGACGGAACGCCGGCGGCGAAGGCGGCUUCCUGGUCAGUUUCUGACGCUGAGGCGCGAAAGCGUGGGGAGCAAACGGGAUUAGAUACCCCCGUA
rnacentral:rRNA from 1 species